UGAAGAAGGCCUUCGGGUUGUAAAGUACUUUCAGAAGAAAGGAAGGCGGGUGCGUUAAUAGCGCAUUCGUUUGACGUUAGCUGCAGAAGAAGCACCGGCUAACUCCGUGCCAGCAGCCGCGGUAAAACGGAGGGUGCGAGCGUUAAUCGGAAUUGCUGGGCGUAAAGCGCAUGCAGGUGGUUUGUUAAGUCAGAUGUGAAAGCCCGGGGCUCAACCUCGGAAUUGCAUUUGAAACUGGCAGGCUAGAGUACUGUAGAGGGGGGUAGAAUUUCAGGUGUAGCGGUGAACUGCGUAGAGAUCUGAAGGAAUACCGGUGGCGAAGGCGGCCCCCUGGACAGAUACUGACACUCAGAUGCGAAAGCGUGGGGAGCAAACAGGAUUAGAUACCCUGGUAGUCCACGCCGUCAACGAUGUCUACUUGGAGGUUGUGGCCUUGAGCCGUGGCUUUCGGAGCUAACGCGUUAAGUAGACCGC
rnacentral:rRNA from 1 species